AAACAAAUUCACCGUCAAAAUCUGCUCAAACCCUUUUUUGCUGUUUAUCUGGGAAUUAGCAGCGGUUGGAUCAUGUCUCUUCACACUACGGAAACAACAAUAAGUUUUACCAAAAAAUAAACAAAAGCAGAGCACAAGUAGUUGAAUCGUGUAAGACAGUACGAGUUCCACGCAAUUAAGAGAUAGCAAUAAAAUUUGAAACAAAAAAGAGCAAGUCAUAUUAACAUAAUACAGC
rnacentral:lncRNA from 1 species